UUUAUCCGUGGCAGGGGGCACACCACAGGAUCUGACACUGCACCAGACCUGCUGCUCAGGCACUGUUAAUUCAUGGAGAAGUGUGAAUCCAGUGUGUCCAGGAUGCAUUGAAUUUCCUGCAUCUGCUUAACUCAGCUGUGUUUGAGCAGUAAACUAGAGGCUGGUCACUGUGAGUGUGCAAGAGACUCCACUGAAGAUAGCUAUGGAAUAACUUCCCUGUAGAGACAAGAUAUUCUGAAUCCUUCAAUGUCGCAGGUAACAAUGUGAAAUAAGAAGUGCACAAGCUCAGACAGCUGAAGGUUGAAACUUCUGUGCUGUCUCUCCCAAAGCUCAUGAGGCUUUUGAGGAGCAGGUCUUUUGUGUGGGAUGCUGAAGAGCGGCAAGAGCUGUAGACUUUUUCUUUACUUUGUGAGCCACUUCUAUUUAUUCACAAAGGAUAACAUGAG